UGCGAUGAGUCGAGAAAGAUUAAUACGUUAAUCUUUUAUUAAACGGCCAACAUUAACACCCGCAUGGUGGUUGGUGCAAAUGAUGUUGUGGAACUG
rnacentral:ncRNA from 1 species